rnacentral:rRNA from 1 species
AUUGAACGCUGGCGGCAGGCUUAACACAUGCAAGUCGAGCGGUAGCACAAGAGAGCUUGCUCUCUGGGUGACGAGCGGCGGACGGGUGAGUAAUGUCUGGGAAACUGCCUGAUGGAGGGGGAUAACUACUGGAAACGGUAGCUAAUACCGCAUAACGUCGCAAGACCAAAGAGGGGGACCUUCGGGCCUCUUGCCAUCAGAUGUGCCCAGAUGGGAUUAGCUAGUAGGUGGGGUAAUGGCUCACCUAGGCGACGAUCCCUAGCUGGUCUGAGAGGAUGACCAGCCACACUGGAACUGAGACACGGUCCAGACUCCUACGGGAGGCAGCAGUGGGGAAUAUUGCACAAUGGGCGCAAGCCUGAUGCAGCCAUGCCGCGUGUGCGAAGAAGGCCUUCGGGUUGUAAAGCACUUUCAGCGAGGAGGAAGGUGGUGAACUUAAUACGUUCAUCAAUUGACGUUACUCGCAGAAGAAGCACCGGCUAACUCCGUG